UUCUCUUCCCUUCCCCCGCAAAGCUCCAUCCCUCUCUUCCCUUCCCCCCUAAUCCCAGACCCUCUCUUCUUCCCCCACGCACGAACCCUAACCCAUAGCACCGAAUCCCUUCCGUUUCGCACGAACCCUAACCCUAAUCUACCCUUCCCCCGCAUCCCAUCCCUCUCUUCUUCCCCCACAUACGAACCCUAACCCAGAGCCCGCAUCCCUCUGUUCUUCACGAACCCUAACCCUAAUCUACCCUUCCCCCGCAUCCCAUCACUCUCUUCUUCCCCCACGCACGAACCCUAACCCAGAGCCCGCAUCCCUCUGUUUCGCACGAACCCAAACCCUAAUCUACCUGUCCUCUUCAGCCUUGAUAUCCAUAAACCCACACGAACUCGCGAACCGAAAUGGAUUCUCCACGACCUCGCAAAGCUCCAUCCUCGUCGUCCUCCCUCUCCCCCGAACCUCCAUCCCCGUCGUCUUUCACCCCUGAGGUCGCGACUGGACACGGUCCUCCCUCUGCUCGAUUGACCUCCCAGUGCAAGAGAUAACUACGAGGAGAAACAAUGUACGAACGAAAAUGUCAUUUGAAUGCUAAGAAAUGUAUUUGGGUGUGUGGUGUUGGAGAAACAAGGCCUAAGAGUAGAAUUACUCUACUGUGAUAAGGGAUCCAUUUUCCAACAAUUGCUUUCUUCUGUUUGUCGGUGAUUCCAUUGUGUGGCCACUUACCCCUUGUUCUUCUCAUUCUUAAUUGGCCCUACUUUGCAACUAAAUAUUAAGAUUGCACACUUUUUGUUAAUUUUCUUAGUGAUUUUUAUUUUAUUUAGGGUGUUUUAGUACUAUAUAAAGCUUAAUGGGGAGAUUGAAUUCUAAUGUAACAAUGUUGGGUUCAACCUUUUCUACUGUCUCUUUUGAGUUGCUGGCUGUUUUGAGGGAGUGGUCAAUGCGUAUGAUAUGGGGUUGGUUGACUUCAUCCUUGGAAUCUGUUUGUUGGAAUUGAGAAAAAUAAUUAGGAACCAUAUGGGAAACUUCCUCCUUUGAAAUUCUGUUCUCGAGACCAAGGUGAGCUUUUUACAUUACUAGUUAGAAGGGGAGAUUUUAUUUUAUUUAUAUAUAUAUAUUUAUAUUCAAACGUCUUUUAUGGUUUAAAAAGAAAUAGAUACAAAACUUUAUUCCCACGCUUCCACGUCAUAAGGACAUACUAAUUUGAGAUUGGGACUGAACCCAAUCAUCCAUUCUAUGCAAUCAGUGUAUCUACCUGGUUGGUGACUUCCAUGAUUGUCUUAAUUAUAGGGUCCUUGGUAUUUGGUGUUUCGUUUUAAAGGAGGACUGUGACAAACUUUAGAAAUCAUGGAACCAACAAUAUCAUUCAAGAUUGUUUCACCUUUUUCUCAAUUAAAGAAAAACUACUAUAAAAACAUAACAAAGUUAUAGGAAAGUUCAAACAGGGUUCGUUCAGAUGAGAUGUUGCCUUUGGUCUAUACUAGAUAGGUACUCAAAAUUAAGCUUCUCUGACUACAUAUUUUUUCAGAGGAUUUGCUAAAAGUGCUCAGAUCCUGCUACUUCGUGUACAUUAUGUACAAACAUGAUGGAUCUUCAUUAUGCUGGCAAAAAUAUGUGCUGUAUGGUUUUGAUUUUGCUGAUGACUUGCUCAAUGCCUACCUACAAUGUUGGUCAUUUUUCAUUUUUGAUAUAAUUCAUAUUCUCUCCCCCUUAUCAAUCAUAAAUGCAUGUGUGUAAGGGAAAAUAGUUAACUGCAAUUAAGGAUUUCCUGUUAAAUCUAACACCAAAAUAAUUAAACACUCAUAGCAUACUUAUACAACUUGAAUGAUGGCUAGUAGUUACUUAAUUAAAACUUCCUGCUAUUCAAUUUUAUUCCCUCAAUAUAAAAUUGUUAUUCAAUUGUUUUAUGGGAUUCAUCUUAGAAUGUCAUCAUCACCUUUAUCAAUAUCUUCUUCAUCUUUUCCCAAACGUACUUUGGGAAAACCAUUAUGCUUUUGCGAGCUCGAAGCCACAUUGAAAUGGUCAACUACUGCAAAAAAUCCUAGACGGCCCUUCUUAGGGUGUUCAAAGUACAAUACCCAGGCUUACCAUAGUGUAAGUUUUUCAAGUGGUUGGAUGGUAAUGAAGUGAUUGAGCUACAAGUUGAAGAAAAAAUGAAUGAACUGUUAAAGAAAGAGAAAGAGGUGGAGAAGAUACUCGAGCUUCUUGAAAAGUGGGAGAUUGAGCUGCGUAAGAUAGUGAAUCGCCUCGAGAGGGUGCAGAUGGUACUAUCCAAUAAAAGCGACGAGGUUAUGCAAAAGGAGUUGGUGCUUAAUGCACAAGAAGCUAAAAUAAGGCGUGUAGGCACGCUACUUCGGAUUUAUUGUUGUUUUGCAUUUGUACAUGUAUUUUACCUAGUGUUAUAUAAGUAAUUUGGGAUUGUUGUUAGUUCUAUGUUUAGGUAUUGGACUUAUACAUUUGUUUUAAAUUUGUAUUGGACUUGUACAUUUGUUUUCAGUUUGUAUUGGACUUAAGUUUAUCUUUGCUAGAGAAACGGUUUAUGGUUGCUA